rnacentral:lncRNA from 1 species
AGCUUUGGGCAGUGCGGGCUCAGCGGGCGGGGCCUCGCUUCCGCUUCCGCUCGGCGGCUCCGAAGGCGCCGCAGCCGCCACGAUGCUCAUCAAAGUCAAGACGCUGACAGGGAAGGAGAUCGAGAUCGACAUCGAACCCACGGACAAGGUGAGCGCCCAGUUCGGACCAGUAGGAACCAGUAAGGAGCGGCGGGGGGGCAGGGGGGGAGCGGCAGGGGUCUCCCAGUUCAUCCCAGUAU